rnacentral:rRNA from 1 species
GGUGAACGCUGGCGGCAGGCCUAAUACAUGCAAGUCGAACGGCAGCACAGCAGAGCUUGCUCUGUGGGUGGCGAGUGGCGGACGGGUGAGGAAUACAUGGGAAUCUGCCCAGUCGUGGGGGAUAACGUAGGGAAACUUACGCUAAUACCGCAUGCGCCCUUCGGGGGAAAGCCGGGGACCUUCGGGCCUGGCGCGAUUGGAUGAGCCCAUGUCGGAUUAGCUAGUUGGCGGGGUAAUGGCCCACCAAGGCGACGAUCCGUAGCUGGUCUGAGAGGAUGAUCAGCCACACUGGAACUGAGACACGGUCCAGACUCCUACGGGAGGCAGCAGUAGGGAAUAUUGGACAAUGGGCGCAAGCCUGAUCCAGCCAUGCCGCGUGAGUGAAGAAGGCCCUCGGGUUGUAAAGCUCUUUGUCCGGAAGAAAGCGCCGGGUUAAUACCCUAGUGUCCUGACGGUACCGGAAGAAUAAGCACCGGCUAACUUCGUGCCAGCAGCCGCGGUAAUCG